AAGCAUUCUAUACGCAUUGUUCGUGGAUCGAAGACCGCCGCAGAAGUUCUGCUCUUGGACGUCUUCUAGCCCCACGACGCCCUUUUAUCUUUUCUUGCGGCGGUAAGAUUACUAUUUAGUUACAUUUGGAUUUUUAAGAAUUUUCUGUGGAUAUUAGGCGAGUUUUUUUGAUUUUGCGUAAGUUAGUCAUGCGUCACGUUGUACAGUUCGAAUACAGAAAAUGAGAGUUUAAGGGAAACACAAAGUGAAGCAAUUUGACUGUCGUUAUAAACUCUUUCUUUUAUUACUAGCGUUUUUUGUCUGAAUGAUUAGUUUUAACAUAUUUUAAUGGUUUAGACGAAAAAGAAAAGAACAUGAGCAGCGUCACUCAAUCAUCGGCGGACGAUAACGGUCAAACUGCGCCAUCUGUCGCAUCACCUCCGCCCAACCCGACUACCGCCGCCGCCGUUGCCGCUGCCGCCGCUGCUAUUAAUGACAAAGGAUUGAAAAUGAAGAUUAAACGGCCUAACAAAAGCGGAAGACAUGAAAUUGUUAAACAAGAGGCUAAAAAUUUGGAAAAGAAACGCGUUCACUCUCAAAUCAAUCACUCUGUUAAAAAAACAAAUGUUGGAGGUCAAACAUCGUCAAAAGAUCGUAAACCUAAUACCAGCGAAUAUGGCACACCUGCUCCAUCAACUCCUUCAAAAAGGGAACAUGACCCUUAUGACUUUUGUAAUGAUGAUAGUAGACCAUCAGCAGCAACAUCUUCUACAGUUCCUGUGAAGAAAUUAAAAUCGGAUGCCUUAAAGUCGAAUGACGGCAUGGUUGACACAGCGACUGAAACCUGUUCAAUCGGUGUCGUUACCGAUCCUGAAUGCCUGGGACCUUGUGAACCAGGAACUUCAGUCACGCUUGAAGGGAUAGUUUGGCAUGAAACAGAAAAUGGAGUACUAGUCGUAAAUAUAACUUGGCGUGGUAAAACAUACGUGGGAACACUUUUAGAUUCGACAAAAAAUACAUGGGCCCCGCCUAGACUUGGCGACGACUCGCCUACUAGCGAAUUAGAUUCGCGAACGCCGAAAGGUCGCGGUAAGAGGGGAAGGGCAGCUGCUAGUCAAGAUACAGGUGAAAGAAAACUGCGAAAAACAAGGGGUCGACAACAGGCGGCUGCUGCAGCAGCCGCUGCUGCGUCCAUUCAACAACAAAAUUGUAUAAACACAGCACCUGCUAGUCCUGCGAAAACUGGUGAAAAGAGAAAAGCUAACCGUCCAACUGAAUUGGAUCUUGAGGUUAAAAAAUCCAAACCAAAUUCAAGAUCUAGUACGCCAAUUGGUCUAAGGGGUGAUGAUGACUAUAUUGAGUGCCCCGAACCAAAUUGUAACAAAAAGUACAAACAUCUCAAUGGCCUGAAGUAUCACCAAACUCAUGCUCACGGAGAAACGGCUAUGUCGGAUUUAUCGCCCACUCUUCCACCAGCAAAGUGCCCGGAUACACCAGUUAAACAUGAAGAAGACGAGUGUUUAAAAAGUCCAAAAGCUGAAAAUACAAAUGACGAAAACAGAAAAAAACUUGUCAAGUGCGAUAGGAGUAGUAAAGGAAAUAAGCGCUCAACACCAACAACACCAAAAACUAAAACUGAACCUUCUUCCUCAACGUCUAUAAAAGACAAAAAGCCGAAAAAGAAAAAAAGUAAGGAUAAAGAGCGAACAAAAGAAUCUAGCCAGUCUUCAUCACAGAAAUCAGAAGAAAAUUCCGUGAAAAAAUUAGAAGUAGCUAAGCCUAUGGCAGCUCCAGCUGCUCCUAUGGAAUCGACGGCAACGAAAUCAAAUAAGGAAGACCAACGUCCAGCCCAAUCUCCUGCCUAUAGUGAUAUUUCAGAUGCUGCCAAUGAAACGGCUUCAAAUACUCCUGAAGCACGAGUUAAAAACAGCUUGAAUGACACAAGUACCGGUUCAAAUACAAACUGUUCCACAGCUUCUGCAUCAUCUUCAGCUGUUGCCUCAUCGUCAUAUUCUCAUUUAUAUCCAUCACCUUUUAUGGGAGUACCUAUGCAUGCAACUAGUCCAGGCGGUAGAGAAGAAGAGAAAGAAGAACGACGUCAGAAAGAAAGUCCAAUUGAAGCUGCAAAAGCAGACGAUGACGCCCACCAUCGACAACAUUUUCUUAUGCAACAACAGCAGCAAAUGCUGGCAGCUCAGCACGUAGCCCAGUUUGGUGCAGCAGCCUACGGACAAUAUCCACCAUAUAUAUUUGCCGCUCCUUCAUUUCGUCAUCCCCAGAUUGAAGAGGAUAAAAAUAAACCUAUUGAUCUUAAGAAGCCGUCCGCCUCUUCACCUGCUUCUUCUCCUAAAUCAUCAUCUACACCCAAAAGGCCUCCUCAAUGUUCUUCCGCCUCUAGCACCACUUCUAAUGGUUCUUUGAUUCAAGCACAACAAAAUGCAGUAGAUGAUAGACGAGAUGGAAAUAAAUCUCAUUUAGCAGCCGCUGAAGUUAGCAAUGGAGCAGCAGCUCGUCUCAUGGCGGAAAGAGAUCGAGCGCACGCUCUUAGGCAAGUGAGUGACAUGCAGAGAAUAGCAAUGUAUCAUCAUCCCCCGAGUACGAGAGCCAGCACUCCACCAGACAGAUAUUCUCCUCGAAUGGAUAUACCGAAAAACCUUCCAACAGGAGUUUUGUCACCUUACGCUCUUCCUAGUUCACAAAAUAUGCUUCUCUAUUUACAACAUCAACAGCAACAACAUCAUCAUCAUAGGACAGCACUCAUGCAACAGCAUUUAGCCACAAGCCGUGAAUCGGCUGAAUUAUCAGCGCCACCCGGAGGUCAUAAAAUAAACGAAUUGAAGGAAGCCGCUCGAGCGCAUCCGUCCGUCUCGACAAAGUGAAAGGACCGCGUUUAAUUAACUGUGAAACUUUCUCUUUUCGCUACUUACAUACUAUUCUAGUAUAAGUAUAAUCGUGUUGUGCUGAAUGUUUUAUUUUUGUUAUAUUUGUAGAAUCGUUACAUAAAAUAAUUCUCCUAAGAACUACUCUUCUUCCCUGCAAUAAAUAAUUUGAAUAGCGCCUAAUUAAAACUUAUUCUCCUGAGAGUUAACAGAGAGCAAUCUCUAUACCUAG
rnacentral:misc_RNA from 1 species